CGGGCGGCCGCGGUCGUCCCAUGAAAAUCCGCGGAUGAACGAGUAGGCGACGGUCCGGGUCGUACCGAACGACCGCAUCGGGUCUCCAAGGUUGAAAGCCUCUGGCUAACGGGACAACGUAGGUAAGGGAAGUCGGCAAAUUGGAUCCGUAACUUCGGGAAAAGGAUUGGCUCUAAAGGUCGGGCCCGGGGGGUCCGGAGGGCGUCCGCCGCGCGGCCUCGACUCGGGGGACCGCCGCUUCGGCGGCGGGCUCGCGGGGCGUGGAAGCCGACGGGGCGCACGUCGGGGGAGGGGUCCUCUCGCCUCCGGGCGGGGGGCUCCGUCCCCGGGCGGUCGACGACUGGUUUAGAACUGAUACGGACUAGGAGAAUCCGACUGUUUAAUUAAAACGUAGCGUUGCGAAGGCCCCAGAGGGUGCUGACGCAACGUGAUUUCUGCCCAGUGCUCUGAAUGUUAAAGCGAAG
rnacentral:rRNA from 1 species